UACGGAGGGGGCAAGCGUUGUUCGGAAUUACUGGGCGUAAAGCGCGCGUAGGCGGACGUGUAAGUCGGGUGUGAAAGCCCGAGGCUCAACCCCGGAACUGCCUUCGAUACUGCGGGGCUCGAGGCCGGGAGAGGUGAGUGGAAUUCCUAGUGUAGAGGUGAAAUUCGUAGAUAUUAGGAAGAACAUCAGUGGCGAAGGCGGCUUUCUGGCCCGGUGCUGACGCUGAGGCGCGAAAGCGUGGGGAGCAAACAGG
rnacentral:rRNA from 1 species